rnacentral:rRNA from 1 species
UAGCCUUGACAUACUACAGAAUUUGACAGAGAUGUUGAAGUGCCUUCGGGAGCUGUAAUACAGGUGCUGCACGGCUGUCGUCAGCUCGUGUCGUGAGAUGUUGGGUUAAGUCCCGCAACGAGCGCAACCCUCGUCCUUAGUUACUAACGGUUUGGCCGAGGACUCUAAGGAGACUGCCUUCGUAAGGAGGAGGAAGGUGAGGACGACGUCAAGUCAUCAUGGCCCUUACGGCUAGGGCAACACACGUGCUACAAUGGUUAGGACAAUGAGAAGCGAUACCGCGAGGUGGAGCAAAUCUAUAAACCUAAUCUCAGUUCGGAUAGCAGUCUGCAACUCGACUGCUUGAAGCUGGAAUCACUAGUAAUCGUAAAUCAGCUAUGUUACGGUGAAUACGUUCCCGGAUCU